UGCGAGAUGGAGACCCAGAACCAGGAGUACAAGAUGCUGCUGGGCAUCAAGACCCGCCUGGAGCAGGAGAUCGCUCAGUACCGGGCCCUGCUCAACGAGGGACAGCAAGACCUUGUUUCCUCCCAAGGAGCUUUCCAAGGCGGUGGAAAAUCCUCCCAGUCAUAUUCUUCUAGUUCCUUCUCUCAUUCCCAGUCUGGUGACGUGACGGGACAGUCAAGAGUGUGCUAGAGCAAUAGCAGUGAUGCUGGCAUCCUCCACCUAAGACGCACUGCAUGACCCACGGACAACAAGAGACAGAACCCAACGCUUCUGCAGCACAGCCGACGCGACGCAGCGGUGCGGAGGAGUGCUCGUCGCUGGCCUCAUCGCCCUUCUUCCCUUCUGCAAUGCUGGGCUUGCUCAACUUGUCUUUGUCAACUGGUUUCUUUGUUUAAAAGCUUAAAUUCUUCUGAUAACACUGCCAUUAAUAAAACUUUACUUCUUUGAUGCAAAUGAAAAUGUCUAAGGAAUUUAAUUUAACAAACUUUGUACACACAUUAUCAAGCCAUCCAACAAAAUACAGGUUGUCCCAGCGCAGUCUGUAACAUAUGCUAAGAACAGCCAAUUCUGCUGUAAGGAAACGGUCACCGUGCCCAGGUGGUAUCACUGAGCUGAAGGAAAGGAGGAGGAAAAUGAUGGGUAAUCUCUGAAGAUGAAGUAAGCGUUAAUGCACCAACCAUGCUCAUUGCCACUGCUCUGACACAUCCGAAUCCAUUCACCUUCGGCUUUACUCAGCUCAUUAUGGGUAUAGUUCCCAGGGAAGGUGUGACUCAGUACGGGUUGCUCCGGUACACGUGGGUUUCAUGACGUUAAGCAUUUCGACACCCUUGACUAUGCAGAAAAUCAUGGAUUCCUAACUUCUGCCUGGAAAUGCAGGCAACGAGGCGAUACGCCUGUUUCAUUUGGUUUCAUGCAGCAAAAACAUCCUUGUAUUUUAGAGCUGAAGUUCCAACUUAAAUACUAUUACAAUGCCAAGCACCCUUUUUUGGUCCAUAUUAUCAAUCGGUUGAUACUGUGCCUUCCAAGGAACCAGAGCCAUGUUUUCCCACUGGUGGUAUUUCCUUUACUUUGUGUUUCUCUCAGAAGACAACAAGUAUGCAGUGCAACGGGAGGUGAAAGGGCAGUGCUAAAUCAGGCCAGAUGCUUUAUGCAUGCUUUGCUUCCUGAAGGACACAGCGAUCCCCUGCUCAAUCCAGAUCUGCUCUCCAGCUUCCCAAGGGCAGACAGCUUUCUGCUGGCUGCGGGUGCCUCCUGCCCCUUCUCCUCCCACCAAACCUGCUCUGGGGUACUGUUUUGAUAGGGAAAUGAAACGAAAAGCUUUCGCAUCCUAAGCAACUUAGCAGAGUGUUAUUUAGCUUAGGUGUUCUUUCGGUAACUUUGUGGCUUGGCUCAGCCAUCACGGUAACAUAAUUGCAGUUUACAGUAUCUGCAAAGAGGAGAUACUCCUCGUUCCCCUCGAAAAGCUGGGCUGCUGAACUGGCUUUUUUAGGGCUAGCGUUAGGGA